GUGGGGAAUAUUGCACAAUGGGCGAAAGCCUGAUGCAGCAACGCCGCGUGAGUGAUGAAGGUCUUCGGAUUGUAAAGCUCUGUCUUUUGGGACGAUAAUGACGGUACCAAAGGAGGAAGCCACGGCUAACUACGUGCCAGCAGCCGCGGUAAUACGUAGGUGGCGAGCGUUGUCCGGAUUUACUGGGCGUAAAGGGUGCGUAGGCGGAUGUUUAAGUGAGAUGUGAAAUACCCGGGCUUAACUUGGGUGCUGCAUUUCAAACUGGAUAUCUAGAGUGCAGGAGAGGAGAAUGGAAUUCCU
rnacentral:rRNA from 1 species